AUGAAUUCACAUAAUGUUCAACCAAUUCCACUUCUCAUCAUCAUUUACAAAUUCAAGAAUCAAAUGAAACUCAAUAAUACAAUUAAUUUUCGAGAUUCAAAUCUCAAAUUUAGUUCACAUCAAGUAAUCAUGUCUCAAGCAUUUAAUCAAACAUCUAAGCUUCAAGAAACAUCAAAUUCAAAAUCAACUCAAGUAAAGUCUUAA